GGAAGUGAUUGCGAUCUGGUGAUCGUCGCGGUCUUCAAAACCGUUGAGGCGCGUUAACCCGUGCCUGGUGGGUUCGAUUCCCAUCCACUUCC
rnacentral:tRNA from 1 species